AUUUAUUUAAUAUAAAAAGUAUAUUUGAUUUCCAAUCAAAAAGUCUAUAAUUUAGAAUAAAUA
rnacentral:tRNA from 1 species